rnacentral:rRNA from 1 species
UCUUAGCGGCGGACGGGUGAGUAAUGCUUAGGAAUCUGCCUAUUAGUGGGGGACAACAUUCCGAAAGGAAUGCUAAUACCGCAUACGUCCUACGGGAGAAAGCAGGGGAUCUUCGGACCUUGCGCUAGUAGAUGAGCCUAAGUCGGAUUAGCUAGUUGGUGGGGUAAAGGCCUACCAAGGCGACGAUCUGUAGCGGGUCUGAGAGGAUGAUCCGCCACACUGGGACUGAGACACGGCCCAGACUCCUACGGGAGGCAGCAGUGGGGAAUAUUGGACAAUGGGGGGAACCCUGAUCCAGCCAUGCCGCGUGUGUGAAGAAGGCCUUAUGGUUGUAAAGCACUUUAAGCGAGGAGGAGGCUACUGAGACUAAUACUCUUGGAUAGUGGACGUUACUCGCAGAAUAAGCACCGGCUAACUCUGUGCCAGCAGCCGCGGUAAUACAGAGGGUGCGAGCGUUAAUCGGAUUUACUGGGCG